UACGCUCCUGGGUUGAGGAGAAGUAGGGUGGGAGAAUGGUAUGAGGAAGGCGGAGGGAAGUCAGGCAGGAAGGCGGGAGGGAGGGAGGGAGGGAGGGGGAGUGUCGCUGUUGCCUGCCUUCCUUCGCCUCUGCGCACGUGGGUCUGCUGCUCUACGUGCUCGAGGGCGAGGCAGCUUCCUGAUUGGCUCGCCUGGAGGAGUCCCACGUGGGGGCUGGAGUGCUGCUUGGGGACACGUGGCACGGGGCGGAGGCAAAAAAAAAGAUGAAGAAGAAGGGGGCUGGGCUCAGCGAUGUCUCUGGAAAGCCCUUUCGGGCAUGCGCACUGAGUCCUGGCGCUGGGAAGGCCUGAGUAGAGGCUGCAACAGCGCAUGCGUCAGCUUGGGUGGUUUGGCUGGAGGCAGCAUGGAGCAGUGAUAGAAAUAAGUGAUGGGGGGGGGGGAAAGGAGGAAGGAGGGUUCUUUCCACGCGUGGGAAGGGUUCGCGCGUGGACUUUGCAGCGUGGAAGGUCUUCGGGGGCAGCUUUGAGCUUGCAUUGCUGCAGGCUGGAGCAGAAUUUACUGGGGGAGCCAAAAAUAACUCUUGCCCACCCGCGCAUGCGCAGUCGCCCACCAGUUCCUCCUUCCUUCCCCUUCCUUUUUCCCUCCCUUUUCUUUCUCAGCCUGGCCUCAGCUGCCAUACCUUUCUCCCUUUGCAAGCCAAACCCCAUUAUAUGCAAACGGAUGCAGGGAUCCCAGCUGUUCCCUUUUGCAGAUGGGCAGCUGCCCCUCAAAAGGCAUUGAGGCCCUUCCUCCAGGCCCCUUUUCUCUAGGGAUGCCUUGUGAUUGACAGGCCUGGGAGGGAGCCCUUCCUCUGUAUUUGAGCGAGCAAAAUGGAGGAAGACACCAGGAGGGGAUGCCUGGGGAAAUUCAGGCCGCCUGGGUGCACACUUGCAGGCAUGCCAGGUAAAAUGGGGAAGCACUGGACCCUGCUGCUGGAGCACGUUCUGUCCUGUUUUGACUUGGCUGCAGCCGAUGGGAUUCCCAGGCUGAAAAUAAAAAAGCUAGACUGAGA